CCCGACGUGGGACUUGAUUUGGAACUCCAGGAUCACGCCCUGGAUCAAAGGCAGGAAAACAGCAGCAAACUCUGCCUGAAAAGGAAGCGUGGUGGAGCAGACAGACCCAGACACCAGAAAGCACCUUCGAGCAGACUCCAUGGAAUGGCAGGGCACCUGGAAUUCCCACUGGAGGACCAACUUCUCUCACUCAAAGGGAAUCCACUGUCUGAGGCCAGAAGGCAUCUCCUCAUUUAAUCACUUGGUUACUAUCCCUUCUUAUUCAGUGUGGCUGACAUAGUUUGGCUCACCAAGGUCCCAAACUCAACCCCAUUUUCUAUAGCUGCCUCCAUUAAAAAGACUGUUAAAGUGAAAUAACUGAUAUCCCAAACUUCUUGUCUUGUACUUCCUUGAGAAAUAAAUUGCAAUUUGGAGAA